rnacentral:rRNA from 1 species
AUUGAACGCUGGCGGCAUGCCUUACACAUGCAAGUCGAACGGCAGCACGGGGCAACCUGGUGGCGAGUGGCGAACGGGUGAGUAAUGCAUCGGAACGUACCUUUCAGUGGGGGAUAACGUAGCGAAAGUUACGCUAAUACCGCAUAUUCUGUGAGCAGGAAAGCAGGGGAUCGCAAGACCUUGCGCUGAUUGAGCGGCCGAUGUCAGAUUAGCUAGUUGGUGAGGUAAAGGCUCACCAAGGCGACGAUCUGUAGCGGGUCUGAGAGGAUGAUCCGCCACACUGGAACUGAGACACGGCCCAGACUCCUACGGGAGGCAGCAGUGGGGAAUUUUGGACAAUGGGGGCAACCCUGAUCCAGCCAUGCCGCGUGAGCGAAGAAGGCCUUCGGGUUGUAAAGCUCUUUCGGCCGGGAAGAAAUCGCACAGGCUAAUACCUUGUGUGGAUGACGGUACCGGAAUAAGAAGCACCGGCUAACUACGUGCCAGCCGCCGCAGUAAUAC